AAUACAUGCAAGUCGAGCGGACAGAAGGGAGCUUGCUCCCGGACGUUAGCGGCGGACGGGUGAGUAACACGUAGGUAACCUGCCCCUUAGACUGGGAUAACUCCGGGAAACCGGAGCUAAUACGGGAUAAUAAAGAGAAUCACCUGAUUCUCUUUUGAAAGACGGUUUCGGCUGUCACUAAGGGAUGGGCCUGCGGCGCAUUAGCUAGUUGGUAAGGUAACGGCUUACCAAGGCGACGAUGCGUAGCCGACCUGAGAGGGUGAUCGGCCACACUGGGACUGAGACACGGCCCAGACUCCUACGGGAGGCAGCAGUAGGGAACCUUCCGCAAUGGACGAAAGUCUGACGGAGCAACGCCGCGUGAGUGAGGAAGGCCUUCGGGUCGUAAAGCUCUGUUGUGAGGGAAGAACAAGUACCGGGGUAACUACCGGUACCUUGACGGUACCUCACCAGAAAGCCACGGCUAACUACGUGCCAGCAGCCGCGGUAAUACGUAGGUGGCAAGCGUUGUCCGGAAUUAUUGGGCGUAAAGCGCGCGCAGGCGGCUUCUUAAGUCUGAUGUGAAAUCUCGGGGCUCAACCCCGAGCGGCCAUUGGAAACUGGGAAGCUUGAGUGCAGAAGAGGAGAGUGGAAUUCCACGUGUAGCGGUGAAAUGCGUAGAUAUGUGGAGGAACACCAGUGGCGAAGGCGACUCUCUGGUCUGUAACUGACGCUGAGGCGCGAAA
rnacentral:rRNA from 1 species